rnacentral:lncRNA from 1 species
AUACAGUUUUACAGACCUCGUGUGGGACUCCAGCUGCUCAGGAGCUUUCUUGCCAAUUACUUUAUUGGUUACUAAUAAAUUGUUAUUCAGUAUUGUUUGGUCACUCAAACUCUCAGUGUGUAUGUGCAGGGACAGUUGUUUGUGAGAGUUUUCAUGUUUUUAUCUAAGGGUGUAAAACCAAUUUAUACAGGUGCAAGUUAUUUUUUUACCCAGGAAUAGAGUGUUAUGCUAAUGAACUGCUCACACCAGGAUCGCUUCCACACGGGAAUUCCAGGCUUGAUUUUAUGAAGCCUUUCUUUAUGAUUUUCCUACCUCACUGCAAUACAGGAUUUCCCUGGAAGCAGCACUAACAUUGCUGUUGGAGCCUCCUGAAACAGCUCCUGUUUUCCCAAAGCCUUGCCUCGGGAAUUCAGUGCCAGGUGGGGCCUUGCAGCACUGUCCCCUUGUGUCCCCGUCCUCCUUCCCCUGCAGAGCUGGAGCUGAGCAGGAUGGAGGGGCUGCAGGAAAUGUUCCCCCCUGCACAAGCAGGGAUGCUGAACAUCCCUGGAGUGACCAUGGCUUUUCCAAGGAUUUUCCAGUCCCCAGGCCUCCAUUUGGCUGUCACUUCAGCUGGUGUUUUAAUGAUAAAAAAGGGAAUUGCCGAGGAUAGGAGGGGAUUUGGUUUCCCUGGGCAGGGGGCAGAGGCCACGCUUUGGCUUUUCCGCUUUUCCAGUGGGUGUUCCUCUCCUUUUCCAUAUCCCAGGAUUCUGCUUCAUGGGAGCACAGCUGUGGGAAGGGCUGGGUGUGGAGCUGGGAGAGGCUUGGGAAAGAUGUGGGGCUGGAGAGGUGAGUAAGGGAGGGAGAGAGAACCUAAAGGGGCUCCAGGAGAGCUGGAGAGGGGCUGGGGACAAGGGAUGGAGGGACAGGACACAGGGAAUGGCUCCCACUGCCAGAGGGCAGGGAUGGGUGGGAGAUUGGGAAUUGGGAAUUCCUGGCUGGGCUGGAAUUGCCAGAGCAGCUGUGGCUGCCCCUGGAUCCCUGGCAGUGCCCAAGGCCAGGUUGGACACCCUGGGACAGUGGGAGGUGUCCCUGCUGUGGCACAGGGUUAGAAUAGGAUGGUUUUUAAGGUCCCUUCCAACCCAAACCAGUCUGGAAUUCCACCUGUGAAAAUCAGGCUCUGAGGGUUUCCACCAACCCUGGAGAUUCCAGGACUCCUUCUCCAGAGCUCCUGUGGAUGUUCUCGUGCUCAGGGAAUGGAGGUGUUUUCCAGAGGAUGGAACAUUCCAGAGGAUGGAUGUGUUGGAGAGAACGUGUCACAGAACAGCUAGGACAGCCUAAAUCAAAAUGGAAAUUGUAAAUUAAUCUUGGUGCCAGUCCUAUGGAAUUGGCUGGGUUAGGUCCUGGAUUUGGAUUUAUGGGAUGGUCAGGGUUGGAAGGACCCUUAAAGAUCAUCCAAUUCCAGCCUCCACUUCCAGGAGCCUGAAUUUAAGGAAAUCUUCCCCUGGGAUAUUCUUCAGCUUCUCCACUUUUGACUGAGGAUCCCAAAAAUAGGAAGGAAACCAAGAGAUGGGCAAAUCCUUGUGGAUUUAUAGGAAAAGGUGCAGAAACCAUGGAGAUGUGGGAGCCUGGGAAUGCUGAAGUGCUGCUGAAGUUCCUUUUGUUCUGUAAUGACAGAGGACUCUGCCAGGCUGGGCUCUGCUGCGAGCCUCACUCAGUAAUUAAAAAUCAAUUAGCAUGUU